rnacentral:rRNA from 1 species
UGGGGAAUUUUGGACAAUGGGCGAAAGCCUGAUCCAGCAAUGCCGCGUGUGUGAAGAAGGCCUUCGGGUUGUAAAGCACUUUUGUCCGGAAAGAAAUCCUUGGCUCUAAUACAGUCGGGGGAUGACGGUACCGGAAGAAUAAGCACCGGCUAACUACGUGCCAGCAGCCGCGGUAAUACGUAGGGUGCAAGCGUUAAUCGGAAUUACUGGGCGUAAAGCGUGCGCAGGCGGUUUGCUAAGACCGAUGUGAAAUCCCCGGGCUCAACCUGGGAACUGCAUUGGUGACUGGCAGGCUAGAGUAUGGCAGAGGGGGGUAGAAUUCCACGUGUAGCAGUGAAAUGCGUAGAGAUGUGGAGGAAUACCGAUGGCGAAGGCAGCCCCCUGGGGCCAAAUACUGACGCUCAUGCACGAAAGCGUGGGGGAGCAAAACAGGAUUAGAUACCCUGGUAGUCCACGCCCUAAACGAUGUCAACUAGUUGUUGGGGAUUCAUUUCCUUAGUAACGUAGCUAACGCGUGAAGUUGACCGCCU